ensembl:lncRNA
AUACGUAAGGAACUUAGCCUGGGAGCUCUGCUGACGAUGUAAAACUAGAAGACAUUUCCAGAAGUGUCUGUCAAACAAAGUAUAAAAAUAAUCAGAGACUGAUGGCAGAAGUUACUGACACUCUAGCUGGUGUACAAGUGGGUGAAAUUAAACAGCACUGUACCAACAUUAAAUUCAUUGUUGCAGUGCUUUUUGCUAACGUUCUAAAUGCAGUAACUAGUGGGUUAAAAAUGUACAAUACAGCUGUGUUUUAUCAGAGCUACCUUAAAAUGCUAAUAGAGAGGAUUUUUCUUCUGUUGCACAACCUGUUAAAUCACCGCCCUCAUAUUAGCUUGUACUGCCUGUGCCACUUCUCUGCUGCUCUGUCUUUAUCUGAGACAAUGGCUUAUUCUUCUGCCUGUCCCCUCUUCCUGCUUGUCUGAGCCUACAGCAACUUUCAGUCCUGUGUGUGAUAGUCCUAACCCUGACUAAUAGCAAAAUAGCUCAGCAGAAUGCAAGGCAAAUGUCUCCUGUCUAAUAGUUAGGAUUGCACGCCUUUGCUGGAGUCUUGCCUCAGCUCGGAUAUGUCAGGAAAUGCUAAGCAAGUCCUUUGAUUUUUUGUGUUUCAGCCUGUAAACUGAGAACAACAGUUAUCAAUAUCAUCAGAGAAAAGGGAGGCUUAGCUAAACAGUGGUUGUUUGAAAUACCUGGAUGAGAAAGUGCUUAUUUAAAUGCUAACACAUAGACAGCUCUUUUAUAGGACAGAAUAAAUAAUAUGAAACAUUGUCAUUAUAUUUUAUUGUUUUCUUUCCUUCUCAAUGCUUUUCAAACCUCACACUGCACUUCUGCUAAAGAAGCCCAAAUAUAGGAUCCUACUAGAGACAAAGUCAGACUUUUGGUUAUAAAUGUGAAUCCUUGGGAGUUAUCAUGAUAGUCUGAGCUCUUCUUAGAAUUUAGAUGAGUUAUCUUUGAUCACUUUGCUUCUGCUCUCCUCUGUGUCUGCAGUUUGACAGUCUGUCUGCUUGGACUGGAAGCUCUUUGCUACAAAAACAGCUUGUAAAUGGGCUCUGGUACCAAACCUAAUUUCAGUCCUACCGACACUGCUGUAAGACAUAGUGCUAAAUUUUAAUUGAUUUAGUAUUUAAAUUUACAACUACAAUCGAAUGGAAACUUACAGUCUGGGAGACAAAUGAUUUCCUCUUACAAUGAUACAGCCUGCAGGAAAGUUUUCCACUCAGUAAGUCAAAACAAGAAGAAAAGAUGUAGGUGAUGUCAGUGCUGCUAGAAAACAAAGAAAAAGAAGCAAGAUAUCCAAGAAAAAAGUAAUAAAUGAAUCACAGAAUCACAGAAUGGCUUACACUGCAAGAAAUUUUAAAAAUCAUCUAGUUUCAACCCACUGCCAUAGGCAGGACUGCCUCACAUCAGAUGAGGCUGCCCAGGACCUUAUCCAAUCAGACCUUGAACACCUCCAAGGAUGGGGCAUCCACAGCUUCUCUGGGCAGCCUGUACCAGUGCCUCACAGCCCUCUGAGUGAAAAAUUUCCCCCUGGCAUCAAAUCUAAACCUCCCUUCUUAUAGUUUAAAACCAUUCCUCCUUGUCUUAUCACUACCAGACAUGUAAAAAGUCAGUCCCCCUCCCGCUUUUAUGCUCACUUGAAGUACUGAAAAGCUGCAAUUAGGUCUUUUCUCCAAGCUAAAUAAGCCCAGCUUCCUCAACCUUUCUUCGUAAGUGAGGUACUCCAGCACUUCAAGCAUCUUUGUGGCCCUCCCCUGGAUCUGCUCUAAUAGCUGCACACCUAUCUUGUGCUGGGGGCUCUAGAUCUGGAUACAGUACUCCAUAUGGGGCCUUGUGAGGGCAGACUAGAGGGGGACAAUCAUCUCCCUCACCCUGCUGGCCAUCCCUCUUUUCAUGCAGCCCAGGAUACUGCUGGCCUUUCAGGCUGUGGUAUGAACACUGGGUACAUUAAAGUAGAUGCUGUUGGAUCUUUGUCUUAAUUGUAGUUUUUGUGAGUCUAACUGCUAAUUCCCACUGACAUUUAUUUCCUAUUCCCAUUUCUUUCCAUUUUAUUUACAGUGUCCCCAGUCUGUCUGUUGAGGCUCAAAAAUAGAGAAAGAAGAGACUGUUGACACUUCCUCCUCAUUUUGUCUGUAGAUCCUUCAAAGGAAGACUGCCCAGGCAUCAAACUAAAUGCAUUUCACACAGACCACUUAGAAGAAAAUGAACAGCAACAACUUCCACUCAUUAACAUCGAUAUGGCCUGGGGCUGACCCAGCAUGCCCAAAGCACAAAGCUCUGUAUCCCAUUACCAAAAUCCUGAACACCACAACUCACUUGACUACUUCUUGUUUAGACUAUAAAUAACUUAAUUCCACACCUUGCCAGGCAGUACGACAGAUUGCAGGCCCUAGCAGAGGACAGGGCGCCCUCCUCAAAGCCUUUACAUGAAACAUUUCCUUCAACUUGAACAUCCAGUGGUGUACCUAGAACAACCUCAGCCAGGGGCAGUGUUUUGCUUACAUGCUGGUGCACACUGGCUGUUUCUUUUACUGGGGAACUCUUGUUUCCCUCAGGCCUCAGAGAGAGCCAAUGACGUACCCUCCUAAUGAUGAGGGAAGCCAGGACUAAGCAGUAGCACUUCAGUGCUAACCAGCUGACCUUGAUGUAUUGGAUGUAUUGGUUCAGACUCCACAGGAAUUCCUAGCCCAGAUCCCAUGGAUCCCGGUGCUGGCAUGCAGAGAAAGCUUCCCCUCUGGAUUCCUCCCUGCUUCCAAACUCUUUUUGCAGAGGCAGGGCCUGCAGGAGGAUUGUUGGGCUGCUUUUGUUCCCAGCCACACAAAGCUCUAGGAUGAAGGUAAUGGACUACAAAAGGAUUUCUAAAGCUGCUCGCAGCAUACCUAACACAUUAUGCACUCUGGACUUUCCUUCCCAUGAGAAUGGUGGUCUUGCUGCAUAGUGCAUUUGCUUACUGACAUCUCCUUUUGCUAAUGGGCUCCAUCUUCAAUGUGGCAUACUUUGCCCUGCUAGCUGCCCUCUCUGGCGCUGUGGCUAAGGCAAGGGAUGCUGGUGGGAGAACAUCCAAAGCCAUCUUUCUCAUCUGUAAAGCCUGCAGUCUUCCUGAGACACAUUUCUUUGCAAUUUCCUUCAUAGGGGGCUUACUUCAAAUUCAUCACCAUUAGAUCUGACGCCUUGGGUGCUCAGAGCACUGCAGAGAGAGGCUUAGAACCCUGCAUUCUUUGUUGAAGACGGGGAGAGUUGGAAUAACGGAUUUUAUUUUGUAUUAUUUUCGUGUAGAAACAUAAACGUGGGAUCACUUAGAUGAACGCAUCAUUCCUAUGGAAGUUACACCACUGCUCAGUAGAGAGACUGAUUCAAGAAGCUGAAUUUCGAGGUUACUAGUAUCUAAGCAAUAGUAUACAGUUGUGUAGAUUUUCCAUCCCCACAGUAAAGGACCAAGAGGAAGACUAUGACUAGAAGAUGAGAAAAGAAAAAGAGAAUUAAUGCAGACAUACAUUUAAAAAUAAAGUAUUGCAGUAUUAGCAGACCAAGUCCUGCUUAGGAAAGCUUUUAACAGUUAUCAGCAAUUCUUUAGAAAACAGCCACAGUUUACAUGUGUAGCCAGUUGCUUUCUAAUUGCUACAGCAGGCUACCACUGGGAAGAACAAAGGAAAUAUUUAGCACAUCGUAAAUUCUUCUGUGGCCCUGCCGAGUGGCUGGAGUUCAGAUUACACGUUUAUAACCAACAUUUGAGAGCAAUUUCUCCUUCACUUUGAGAAAGUGGGUGGGGAAGCUGUUCGACACUUUCUUCAAAUGCCUGAAGUAAUGUGUGUCUGAAAGAAACUUGGGUUCAAAAUUCUGUUCCGCUUGUCUUUAAUUCAGGCUCACAAUACAUGGUAAUACGUUGAAAUGCACUGAAAAACUUUGUUAAAAACAGAUGGUUGUGCCAUUGUUGGUGUUGUUACAAUUAUUUGCUUCUAGUUUUACUACUACUGUGUACGAUUUACUGAAAUCUUGCAAGUUGAUCAUUAUUUGUUUCCACUGAUGCUAAGUAUCUUGCAAAUGCUGUCGUGGGCUGUGCUAGUAACUGGACUGGAGGUACACUGACUCGGUAUUUAAUUACAUCCCUGUCUGGCAAAUGGGGUGCUGGGGCUCUGACUUUCGCAAAAUUCUGUGUGAUAUAACAGAAAAUAUGCUGGUACCCUAGCCAGCUUAAGGCUGUGUUUAGUUUCAGUUCUAGGUAAAUUCAAACGUUUCUCAAGUUUCCUGUAGAGUUUCACAUGGAUGAAGUAUUCUACGUUAAUUGUUCUUAAUAAGAAAGUGGUGUAACUGUUUAUUCAGCAGUUGCCAAUAUUGCAGAAGAGAUGAAAGCAAGUGAUCCUUUUGUGUUUGUUAUUUGCUGCUAUUAUUUCACUGCUAACACAUAACUUUAGUGAAUUUAUCAUUAAAGAAAAAAAAUGCAUUAGAACUUAUUUUUUCCCCAGAGUCAUUUAAAAUGCAGCACACUCAGAGCUGAAAAAUCAAAACUCAUGAGUAUCUGUAG